rnacentral:rRNA from 1 species
GACGAACGCUGGCGGCGUGCUUAACACAUGCAAGUCGAGCGAUGAAGCACCUUCGGGUGUGAAUUAGCGGCGAACGGGUGAGGAACACGUGAGAAAUCUGCCUUCAACACUGGGAUAACUCCGGGAAACCGGGGCUAAUACCGGAUAUGAAACCUGCGGGCAUCCGCGGGUUUGGAAAGUUUUUCGGUUGAAGAUGAUCUCGCGGCCUAUCAGCUUGUUGGUGAGGUAAUGGCUCACCAAGGCGACGACGGGUAGCCGGCCUGAGAGGGCGACCGGCCACACUGGGACUGAGACACGGCCCAGACUCCUACGGGAGGCAGCAGUGGGGAAUAUUGGGCAAUGGAGGCAACCCUGAUCCAGCAAUGCCGCGUGAGUGAAGAAGG